GUGGCCAGCUUCUUCUCAUUCAAGAGAGAGUCGAUCCACCCCUAUUGGAUAAGCACGUCCUUCACCUUCACUUGCCACAAAGAAAAAUUAUUUUUUCCAUCAAAUCAGUUGAUCUCCACUUCGAUUGUGCUUGUCUUCUCCAUCUUCUAUCUCGAUCAAUACCACCUCUGUCUGGACUGCCUGAUACCACUUAUCCAUGGCAACUAGGCUCUUAUACCACUUGUUGAGGUAGAUCUCUCAAUUAUGGA
rnacentral:lncRNA from 1 species